rnacentral:lncRNA from 1 species
AAGAUCUGCACCUGCCGUGGAGGUUGGGCUCAUGUGCUCCUCUGCAUUGGAGUUAGCCAAGGAGCGUGUGCAGAACACUUGCCUCGUAGGUCAGCCGUAGAGAAGGAUGUACCAGGUGCAGGCGAAGUUUUGUUCAUGUGCUCCUGGAGGAUUUUUCCCGUGGCAAGCGCUUCUCCAUCCUCCAGCAUCUCAGGCCUGUGCACCAGCCUUCCUGUGCCCGUUGAUGGACUGAGAGGAAGAUGAACCCUUAGGAUGCCUGCCGUGCUCACUGUUAAG